rnacentral:lncRNA from 1 species
AGGGAUAUGGUGGUGAGAAACGUCUUCCACCCCCAUAACUAAUUUAUUGAGUCAAAUAAAAGAACCUAUGUGUCAAUGAUCAAUCCCAACAACUGAAGUGGAUCCAAUUCUUCAACUAGGCUUUUCUCAUUAUUGAAUUUCCUUUACUUUAUUAUUUGCUUUACUUUGCUAUUUUUAAUUCUAGUUUAGUUCAUCAAUCUCAAAACCCCUCUUUUAUUUUAUUUUCAGUUUAUUUACUUGGUCUUGAUAAGAAAAAUAGGUAAGUAUCAAUUCCCUGUGGAUUCGAUCCUUUUACCACUAUCUACAGUUGUAAAAUUGUGGAUAAC